GACGAACGCUGGCGGCGUGCUUAACACAUGCAAGUCGAACGGGAAGGACCUGCAUCUGUGGUGUGCUCGAGUGGCGAACGGGUGAGUCACACGUGCGUAACCUGCCCUUGACUAUGGGAUCACUUCAGGACACUGGGGCUACUACCGGAUAGGAGCCCCUGCUGCAUGGUGGGGGUAGGAAAGUCUCGGCGGUGGGGGAUUGACUGGUGGCUUAUCAGCUUGUUGGUGGGGUAGUGACUUACCAAGGCUUUGACGGGUAGCCGGCCGUAGAGGGUGACCGGCAACAUUGGGACUGAGGUACCGCCCAGCCGCCUACGGGGGGCAGCAGUAGUGAAUAAUGCACAAUGAGCGGCGAACGGAUGCAGCAGCGCCGCGUGCUGGAGGACGGACGUCGGGUGGUAGUCCGCUUCCGCCUGUGACGAAGAGUGAGUGACGGUAAUGGGUAAAGAAGCACCGGCUAACUACGUG
rnacentral:rRNA from 1 species